AUGUAAAGAAAAAAAAAUCUCGAAACCUCCAGCAGUCCUGAUGCUCCACCCGUCGAAGGAAAGGCGGCGGCCGCCAUGGCGAUGCCGGCGGCGACGGACGGGCAGCUCCUGCGGCUCGACAGCUAGGAGGCUCGUGGCCGCGACGGCCCUCGCCUUCAACCAUAACCGGCCCAGCACACCAGGAGGCGACCGCACCUGUAGCCGACACACCUCUCUCUUGUUUUCCCACAGAUCCGGCCAGCGCUGGCAGCGGCGGCGGUGCUUCGCAGGCCCGCGCACGCCGGUAGCGGCGGCGGAGCACCGGCUCGCGCACGUAGCUGGGGCUGCAGUGCGCCGGCCCUCGCGCACCUUAGAUGGCCGCGACUCCCCAUCUCCUCUCCUACCGUUGCGCCGGCCUCCAUCGCCGACUUCCACGUGACUGACUUCACCCUUGCCCCACCCUCGCCCCGGCCGCCGCCGCCGCCGCGUGGUCCACCUCCCUGCACCUCUCCUCCGGCAAUCCGCUCAAGUCAGAUCUCCGUUGCUGGCGACCUUCCUCCCCCCCCCCCCCCCCCCCCCUGCACACGCUCCCCUCAUUGCUAACCGCUAUGCUCCUCAAUUAGGAGGUCAAACUGAUCAAUGGAUUAUUUGCUCCUCCUCUCUCCCUGCUAGGGUGAGUUGAUUGCGCAUAUUUAGUGUUUUCCUUCUUGCUAGGUGCUAAUUCCUUUUCCGUUGCCGCUCCAAUUCAAUGCUGCGGCAUGGUUAUUAGCCUUUUACGGAAGGAAUCUUAAGGCUGCACUACUAUAUAGGUUUUCAGCAUAUUUUCAUUUGAUAUGGACUAUUGGAAUAUAACCGACCAAAUGGAAUAUGGUGAAGUUGGUGCACUUUAUCCUUCUCAUCGCAGAUGAUAAAGUACAUAAGUUUCCCCCUCUCAUCUUUUCAUUACUUUGGAAGCAGUUACAAAUUAUUAUUUUGUUAUAUGCUAUUUAAUUUAGUGUAGAACAGAGUCAACUUUGAACAAUUUUAAACUAUUUAUGAAUCUUUUUUUAAAGAAUGAUGCCAGUAAUCAAAGCAAUGCUACGUAGAAACCAACAACCAACAAUUUCUGUAAACUAUGAGUUUUGUUUUCUUAUUGUCACAUCUUAUUCUCACUUGGUAUGUGCAGCUUAAGUUGCAACGUGACUUAUCAUAUCGACAACACUGGUUGUGGUUUAUGACAUGAAGUAAGCAAGAGCAUCACUUAUUGUAAUUGAGAAGAUACAAAACUUAGACUACAUCCAUUUUUAUCUCUUCUUCAUUAUAAAAAUGCAAUUUCAACCUAGAAUACCUUUUUUUGUCGUAUUUGCAACAAGGCAAGCUAAUUUAUGAUUGAUUCCUCUUUUUACUAUAAAUUCGGAUAGCUAUUCUUAGCAGAUAUCAUGUGUAAAUAUUAAUACAACUGCAAGUGAUAGAACUCCUAACCAGUAACUCUUAUGUUUCGUUGUAAUAUUGGGUUACAUUUGUACUCCUUAAUGCUUGUACUACAUCUGCUAAUUGGAUCCUCAAUACUUAGGCUGCAACUGUUGCCUGGGCUGUUUUGCACAAACUGAGGCCCGUUACGAGCUUAUCUGGUUACAAAUCUCAGUGCAGUCAUAUUUCAGACUACAGAAAUUAUUAGGCAUUCAUUUGCUCCUUUUAGUUUUUUUUUGUCAUUGAUUCGCUUCUCCCAGAUUUAUCUUACAUAUUUAAGGAGCUGCUAAUAAUGGAUGAUUAUUUACUAUCCAUGAUUUUCCAUAAAUUGUUUCACGUCUCAUGUGUAGAGAUAUGACUUUAUAAAGCUAAUAAUACUAUCAUUAUAUUACUAAAAUAACUGCAAAGGCCCUACCCAACAAAUGGCAUUCAGGAAGAAAAUGGCCCAUCUUCUACAUAUUUACUUAUAGAGGAGGUUAUUAGCCACCUUGAUUUCACCAACAACAAUAUGGACUAUUAUACUUUGGUUGUCUGUACCAAGCCUGCGAGGAUCUUUUAGUUUAGGAGCCAAAAACUCCUUUAUACUGCAAUUGCUAAUGCCCUAUGCUUUAUAUUGUGCUUUAAUGGUUUAUAAGGCUUGGAAUGCUUGCAAGCAACUUUUCGAUUCAAAUGCUGCCAGAAAAUUUCUUCGCAGCAUAGUAUACUUCUUAAUUUUAGAUCAAGGAGCAAUGUGCUUCCACUAUUUGAUGCCAGAAAACAGAAGCAGAAUCAUGUCACAUCCUAUAAUAUUAACAGAAUUAACUCUACCACAGUGCUAAUUCUGAACUCCUGUCUUGUGAUUGUGAUCCAUACAAGCACGUUAUUUUUAAACAGCUCCUGAGUAUAAUCAAACUAUCUUAGUUUGUAUCUUAUAAUUAGUCUGGAAGAGGGAUAUGAAGUUUUGGAUGCAGGGUAGGAGUAGGCUGAAUGGAAUAUCUCAAGGAAUUGCAGCACACACUGGUUUAUUCUUAUGAUCCCUGCACCUAUGCAAAGCUUGGCACUUGUAGAUGUGAAGAUUGUGCUUUGCUAUUAUAGGUUUAUUCGAUCACAUGUCACGGUGUUUGAUGGAUACUUAAUUAUCCAUCCAUGCAUAUUUAUUAAGAUUGUGCUGGUGUCUAGUUUGUGUAAUUCAGCAGUUUUCAAAUUUAGUCAUAUUUAGAUCAAAUUGGUAAUGGUACUUGAGAAGAAAAAUAUAGCUAUAUGAUUCUCUGUAUUCCUGCCAAAAGAUGCCAGCCCAUCACUUUGUAGUUUUUUUAUACAAUGGCUUGUACCAAUUAGUUCAUAGUUAACUCAGAUGUAACUUGUAAGUAGCACAAGGGGCACCCAAUGCAUAAAAUCUGCUGCUAUAAAUCCUGCACAAUGUUAGACUUCCAGUAUUGAGUUUACUGGACUCGAGUAGUGCUGAGUUGCAAUUAGAAGAUUAGAAUUUUGUUCAUGACAAAUUCUUAAUCUUGUUCAUUAUUUCCUAAGACAUGUUAACUAUGAACUAUGCAGGUUGCAGUGACAAUGGAGCUAAUAUUGUGCAGAGAAGGAAUAAAAAGGCUACUUUUGUUGUUGUGAUCUUGAGGACAUGUUGUAGUUGCACCAAUAAUUUUUUGUAUCGAUUCAUGUAUAUCUGCAAUUUGAUUGAGACAAUGCAUGUGUCUAACAGAGGCAAACCAUGGUAAUCCAAGCUCUUUUUUCAAA